rnacentral:rRNA from 1 species
UAGAAAGUUACUAAAGCGCAUACAACGAAUGCCUUGACACAAAUUACCGAUAAAGGACGUAGAAGGCUGCGAAAAGCCUCGGGGAGUUGCCUAACAAACUUUGAACCGAGGAUAUCCAAAUGGGGAAACCCGGCUAGAUUUAAACCUAGUCACUCUUACCUGAAUAUAUAGGGUAGGUAGAGGUAACCGCCUGAACUGAAACAUCUAAGUAGGGCGAGGAAUAGAAAGUAAACAACGAUUCUCCUAGUAGUGGCGAGCGAACGGGGAUCAGCCCAAACCUUUUAAGUUUUUGCCUGUUAAUUCAGGUAAAUAAGUUGACAGACGAAUAUUUAAAAGGGGUUGUGACAUAUAAAUUAACCAAGUUUAGGACUUGAUUUAUCAAGGCUUAAACUUGGACUAGCUAACGCUGUCACCAGUUAGCAUAAGGUUACAAAUUGCUGAGCGAGUAGAAGCAGUUGGAAAGCUGCACCAAAGACGGUGAUAGUCCGGUAUACCAAGCGAAGCAACCUUAUCAUUUAUAUUGUCGAGUAGGUCGGAACACGAGAAACUCUGACUGAAUCCGGGACGACCACGUCCCAAGGCUAAAUAUGAUUUGUGAUCGAUAGUGAACUAGUACCGUGAGGGAAAGGUUAAAAGAACCCCGGAAGGGGAGUGAAAUAGAACCUGAAAUUGUAUGCGUACAAGGACUCGGAGCAGCUUCGGCUGUGACGGGGUGCUUUUUGUAGAACGAUCCAGCGAGUUAAUGAUUAUUGCAUGCUUAAGCCAUUUGGCGUGAGGCACAGUGAAAGCGAGCCUGAAUAGGGCGACCAUUUUGUAGUAAUUAUUAGACCCGAAACCAGGUGACCUAACCAUGGGCAGGCUGAAGCGACGGUAAAACGUCGUGGAGGGCCGAACCGUAGCGAGUUGCAACACGCCCGGAUGACUUGUGGUUAGCGGUGAAAUGCCAAUCGAACCUGGAGAUAGCUGGUUCUCCUCGAAAUAGCUUUAGGGCUAGCGUCGUACGGUAGCACUUAGGGGUAGAGCUCUGUUUCGGACUGGGGCGCGUAAGCGUACCCACCCUUGACAAACUACGAAUACUAAGUGUGGAACUACGGCAGUCAGAACGGCGGGGCUAAGCUCGUCGCUCGAAAGGGAAACAGCCCAGACCAUCAUCUAAGGUCCCUAAAUAUAUGCUCAGUGGGAAACGAGGUGAGAUUUCUUAAACAAUGAGGAUGUUGGCUUAGAAGCAGCCAUUCAUUUAAAGAGUGCGUAACAGCUCACUCAUCAAGAGAUCUUGCGCGGAAAAUGUAACGGGGCUCAAGCAUAUUACCGACGAUAUGGAUGCGUAAUUUAUUACGCGUGGUAGAGGAGCGUUCCUAUCUGCGUUGAAGUCGAACCGCGAGGUUCGGUGGAGCGUUAGGAAGUGAGAAUGCUGGAAUCAGUAACCAUAAGGCAGGUGAGAAUCCUGCCCACCGAAAGAGCAAGGUUUCCUGGGCAACGAUAAUCGUCCCAGGGUUAGUCGGUCCUAAGCCGAGGCGCGUAGCGUAGGCGAUGGACAACAGGUUAAUAUUCCUGUACCGGUAUUACUUUGUUUGCAUGACACGGCAUAUUAGCGAGAGCGGACUAUUGAUAUUUCCGUCUAAGUAGUAGAAAUGGCUACAAAUGAAACGUUUGAAUAAAACGAAUUCUCGUGAAGGUGCUGGCCAGAAAAGCAUGCAAACGCGUGGGUAAUGCCGUCCGUACCGCAAACCGACACAGGUGCUCAGGUCGAGAAGACCAAGGUGUACGAGUGAUUCUUCGUUAAGGAACUCGGCAAUACAGCGACCGUAACUUCGGGAUAAGGUCUGCCCCCUCACAAUGUUUAUAAACUUGUGAGAUUGCCUCAAAGAGUUUUCUUUUAACAAAAAAUGCAGUCAAGGCUUUUAGUAACGGCCAAGAUUGUAUGAGCGAGCAACAAUGAGAAAGAAAGCUUUAGAGCGUUUCUUCACAAAUAUUAUAAGAUGUUCUUUCUUCGGAAGGAAAAAGAACAGCCAGAGUCGGCGGAUUUAUUCCGCGACGCUGCGCGAUAAGAAAAAACCAUCAGGGUUUUGUCUUAUAUAUUGUAAAUAUUGUGAGGGGGCCGCAGCUAAAGAACCCAUGCAACUGUUUACCAAAAACACAGGUCUCUGCUAACACGAAAGUGGAUGUAUAGGGGCUGACUCCUGCCCGGUGCUGGAAGGUUAAGGGGAGAGCUUCACGGCUUGAACUGAAGCCCCAGUGAACGGCGGCGGUAACUAUAACCGUCCUAAGGUAGCGAAAUUCCUUGUCAGGUAAGUUCUGACCCGCACGAAUGGAGUAAUGAUAUGGGUACUGUCUCGACGAAGAGCUCGGUGAAAGUGCAUUGACGGUAAAGAUGCCGUCUGUCCGCAGCAGGACGAAAAGACCCCGUGCAGCUUUACUACAGCUUGACAUUGAAUCGAGCUGCAAUAUGUGUAGCAUAGCUGGGAGACUUUGAAGCCUAGGCGCCAGCCUAGGUGGAGUCGAAAUAUGAAAUACCAGCCUUAUUGUAGUUUUAUUCUUACGUGUCCCUUUAUUUGUCGCUGACGCUUAUGAGACACCCUUUCAGGGUUUCUCAUCGUGCCGGGUCGCAGAGUAAAUCUGCCGACUCGGACUGCUCUUCCCGACGGAAGAGAAGAUAAGUCAGAGGUAGGUACAGGGACGCAGACAGUGUCUGGUGGGUAGUUUAACUGGGGCGGUUGCCUCCUAAAGAGUAUCGGAGGCGUUCAAAGGUUGGCUAGAUACGGAUGGAAAUCGUAUUGAUAGUGCAUGCGCAGAAGCCAGCUUGACUGUGAGACCUACAAGUCGAUCAGGCACGAAAGUGGGAGCAAGUGACCCGCUGUAUUAACCAUUUAUGGUUUAUGAGAGUGGAAUCGACAGCGCAAACGGAUAAAAGUUACCCUAGGGAUAACAGGCUUAUCGGGCCCAAUAGUUCACAUAGACGGCCCGGUUUGGCACCUCGAUGUCGGCUCAUCACAUCCUGGAGGGGGAGCACCUUCCAAGGGUCCGGCUGUUCGCCGGUUAAAGUGGUACGUGAGCUGGGUUCAGAACGUCGUGAGACAGUUCGGUUUAUAUCCGCUGUGGACGUCAGGAAAAUUGAGAGAAUUUGACCCUAGUACGAGAGGACCGGGUUGAACGCACCGCUGGUGUACCAAUUGUGGGAUCUACCUGCAUCGUUGGGUAGCUAUGUGCGGACCAGAUAAGCGCUGAAAGCAUAUUAAGCGCGAAACUGACCUCAAGAUUAGUUUUCCCUAUGGAGCCCCCUGAAAGACGAUCAGGUUGAUAGGCGCAAGGUGUAAGAGCAGCAAUGUUUUCAGCCGAAGCGUACUAAUAGGGCCAUUGACUUUCUAAG